UACACACCGCCCGUCACGCCAUGGGAGUUGGUUUCACCCGAAGGUGGUGCGCUAACCCGCAAAGGAGGCAGCCAACCACGGUGGGAUCAGCGACUGGGGUG
rnacentral:rRNA from 1 species